UACGUAGGGAGCAAGCGUUAUCCGGAUUUAUUGGGUGUAAAGGGUGCGUAGACGGGAAAGCAAGUUAGUUGUGAAAUCCCUCGGCUUAACUGAGGAACUGCAACUAAAACUACUUUUCUUGAGUGUUGGAGAGGAAAGUGGAAUUCCUAGUGUAGCGGUGAAAUGCGUAGAUAUUAGGAGGAACACCGGUGGCGAAGGCGACUUUCUGGACAAUAACUGACGUUGAGGCACGAAAGUGUGGGGAGCAAACAGGAUUAGAUACCCUGGUAGUCCACACCGUAAACGAUGGAUACUAGGUGUAGGGAACAUUAAGUUUUCUGUGCCGUCGCAAACGCAAUAAGUAUCCCACCUGGGGAGUACGGCCGCAAGGUUGAA
rnacentral:rRNA from 1 species